AGGACUAACGCUGGCGGCGUGCCUAACACAUGCAAGUCGAACGAGGUAGCAAUACCUAGUGGCAGACGGGUGAGUAACACGUAGUCAACCUUCCCGAUAGUGGGGGAUAACUAGCCGAAAGGUUAGCUAAUACCGCAUACGAUCUUCGAGUGGCAUCAUUUGAAGAUGAAAGGAGCAAUCCGCUUUCGGACGGGACUGCGUCCCAUUAGCUAGAUGGUGGGGUAAUGGCCUACCAUGGCAACGAUGGGUAGCUGGUUUGAGAGAGCGACCAGCCACACUGGGACUGAGAAACGGCCCAGACUCCUACGGGAGGCAGCAGUGAGGAAUUUUCCGCAAUGGGCGAAAGCCUGACGGAGCGACGCCGCGUGUGGGAAGAAGGCCUUCGGGUCGUAAACCACUGUCGAAGGGGAAAUACUGAUGGUACCCUUGGAGGAAGCCCCGGCUAACUACGCGCUAGCAGCCGC
rnacentral:rRNA from 1 species